AAUGAACGCUGGCGGCAGGCCUAACACAUGCAAGUCGAACGAAGCCUUCGGGCUUAGUGGCGGACGGGUGAGUAACGCGUGGGAACAUACCCAAAGGUACGGAAUAGCCUCGGGAAACUGGGAGUAAUACCGUAUGUGCCCUUCGGGGGAAAGAUUUAUCGCCUUUGGAUUGGCCCGCGUUGGAUUAGGUAGUUGGUGGGGUAAUGGCCUACCAAGCCGACGAUCCAUAGCUGGUUUGAGAGGAUGAUCAGCCACACUGGGACUGAGACACGGCCCAG
rnacentral:rRNA from 1 species